rnacentral:lncRNA from 1 species
GUCCCUUCAGCUGUCACUAAUAUGUUAAGUAAUUCAGGCAUGGUGCUAUCAAUCUUAUUUAUAUGGUAGUUUAUAAUAAAACUGAUCAUAUGAAUCAAAAAGAGACUACAAAAUCAGAUCCACCUGCAAAUUUCUAUGCAUGUCAUUCCGAGCUUUUGAAGCUCCUCCAUGUCCUUGAUCAUUAUCAAAAUGAUCAUGGACCGACUGUCCAUCAUGCAUUUUCGCUCUA